AACGAACGCUGGCGGCAGGCUUAACACAUGCAAGUCGAGCGCCCCGCAAGGGGAGCGGCAGACGGGUGAGUAACGCGUGGGAAUCUACCCAUCUCUACGGAAUAACGCAUGGAAACGUGUGCUAAUACCGUAUACGUCCUUCGGGAGAAAGAUUUAUCGGAGAUGGAUGAGCCCGCGUUGGAUUAGCUAGUUGGUGGGGUAAAGGCCUACCAAGGCGACGAUCCAUAGCUGGUCUGAGAGGAUGAUCAGCCACACUGGGACUGAGACACGGCCCAGACUCCUACGGGAGGCAGCAGUGGGGAAUAUUGGACAAUGGGCGCAAGCCUGAUCCAGCCAUGCCGCGUGAGUGAUGAAGGCCCUAGGGUUGUAAAGCUCUUUCACCGGUGAAGAUAAUGACGGUAACCGGAGAAGAAGCCCCGGCUAACUUCGUGCCAGCCGCCGCCGUAACAC
rnacentral:rRNA from 1 species